rnacentral:rRNA from 1 species
AGCAAUACUUUGGUGGCGACCGGCGCACGGGUGAGUAACGCGUAUGCAACCUACCUAUCAGAGGGGAAUAACCCGGCGAAAGUCGGACUAAUACCGCAUAAAACAGGGGCACCGCAUGGUGAUAUUUGUUAAAGAAAUCCGCUGAUAGAUGGGCAUGCGUUCCAUUAGGUAGUUGGUGAGGUAACGGCUCACCAAGCCGACGAUGGAUAGGGGAACUGAGAGGAAGGUCCCCCACACUGGUACUGAGACACGGACCAGACUCCUACGGGAGGCAGCAGUGAGGAAUAUUGGUCAAUGGGCGAAAGCCUGAUGCAGCGACGCCGUGUGAGGGAUGAAGGCCUUCGGGUUGUAAACCUUUUUCGCUCUUGACCAAGGGCCGCUUUUGGGGUGGUUUGAGGGUAUGGGGUAAAGAAGCACCGGCUAACUACGUGCCAGCAGCCGCGGUAAUACGUAGGGUGCGAGCGUUGUCCGGAAUUAUUGGGCGUAAAGGGCUUGUAGGUGGCGUGUCGCGUCUGUCGUGAAAUUCACUGGCUUAACUAGUGAAGUGCGGUGGGUACGGGCAUGCUUGAGUGUGGUAGGGGAGAUUGGAAUUCCUGGUGUAGCGGUGGAAUGCGCAGAUAUCAGGAAGAACACCGGUGGCGAAGGCGGAUCUCUGGGCCAUUACUGACGCUGAGGAGCGAAAGCGUGGGGAGCAAACAGG